GACGAACGCUGGCGGCGUGCUUAACACAUGCAAGUCGAACGGAAAGGCCCUGCUUUUGUUGGUUGCUCGAUUGGCGAACGGGUGAGUAACACGUGAGUAACCUGCCCUUGACUUUGGGAUAACUUCAGGAAACUGGGGCUAAUACCGGAUAUGAUCUCCUGCUGCAUGGUGGUGGUUGGUAAGUUUCGGCGGUUGUGGAUGUACUCGCUGCUUAUCAGCUUGUUUGUGUGGUAGUGGCUUACCAAGGCUGUGACGGGUAGCCGGCCUGAGAGGGUGACCGGGCACAAUGGGACUGAGAUACGGACCAGAAGCCUACGGGAGGCAGCAGUGGGGAAUAUUGCACAAUGGGCGGAAGCCUGAUGCAGAAACGCCGCGUGCGGGAUGACGGCCUUCGGGUUGUGAACAGCUGUCGACGGUGACAAAGAGUGAGUGACGGUAAUGGGUAAAGAAGCAACGGCUAACUACGUG
rnacentral:rRNA from 1 species